rnacentral:rRNA from 1 species
UACGAAGGGUGCAAGCGUUACUCGGAAUUACUGGGCGUAAAGGGCGCGUAGGCGGUUCUAUAAGUCAGGCGUGAAAUUCCUGGGCUUAACCUGGGGGCUGCGCUUGAGACUGUGGGACUUGAGGUCAGAAGAGGGUCGUGGAAUUCCCAGUGUAGAGGUGAAAUUCGUAGAUAUUGGGAAGAACACCGGUGGCGAAGGCGGCGACCUGGUCUGAUAUGACGCUGAGGCGCGACAGCGUGGGGAGCAAACAGG